UUCCGCGCGUUCCACCUCUAGGAUUGUGGGUUCAUGAUCCUCACAUCGGACUAAUGACACUUAUGUGAAAAUAGUUAGUCAACGCUCUACCGAAAGUCGUUUUCUACUAUAAAUUCCACGUCAUAUACCAUUGAUAUGACAUUACAUUUUGUAGUGCUUUAAUCCUAUCCGUCUUUAUGACCUAGCAUUUGAUAGUCAUGUUAUCAACAUUGAAGUCCUCGUAGUUGGAUAUGAGAUAUUAAGCCCAGACGAGCAGGUUUUCUUUGACAAGUUUCCCUUGACAAGUUUUUAGGGUUAGUUCAAAAACUAAGGGUCCCCGACAGUUAGGGGCUCCAUCAGCCACGGCCUAUCGCCCAGAAAAUUAGAAAACGUAAAAAAUGCAGGUUAAGAAUCAAUGGGAAUAUGCAAAAUUAAUAAUGCUAAAUUAUAAAGCCUCCGACGACAACGGUC
rnacentral:lncRNA from 1 species